rnacentral:rRNA from 1 species
CUUUUAAUGAGAGUUUGAUCCUGGCUCAGGACGAACGCUGGCGGCGUGCCUAAUACAUGCAAGUAGAACGCUGAGGUUUGGUGUUU